rnacentral:rRNA from 1 species
AGUGAACGCUGGCGGUAGGCCUAACACAUGCCAGUCGAACGGCAGCACAGUAAGAGCUUGCUCUUACGGGUGGCGAGUGGCGGACGGGUGAGGAAUACAUCGGAAUCUACUUUUUCGUGGGGGAUAACGUAGGGAAACUUACGCUAAUACCGCAUACGACCUACGGGUGAAAGCAGGGGAUCUUCGGACCUUGCGCGAUUGAAUGAGCCGAUGUCGGAUUAGCUAGUUGGCGGGGUAAAGGCCCACCAAGGCGACGAUCCGUAGCGGGUCUGAGAGGAUGAUCAGCCACACUGGAACUGAGACACGGUCCAGACUCCUACGGGAGGCAGCAGUGGGGAAUAUUGGACAAUGGGCGCAAGCCUGAUCCAGCCAUACCGCGUGGGUGAAGAAGGCCUUCGGGUUGUAAAGCCCUUUUGUUGGGAAAGAAAAGCAGCAGGUUAAUACCCCGCUGUUCUGACGGUACCCAAAGAAUAAGCACCGGCUAACUUCGUG